rnacentral:rRNA from 1 species
GACGAACGCUGGCGGCGUGCUUAACACAUGCAAGUCGAACGGAAAGGCCCUGCUUUUGUGGGGUGCUCGAGUGGCGAACGGGUGAGUAACACGUGAGUAACCUGCCCUUGACUUUGGGAUAACCUCAGGAAACUGGGGCUAAUACCGGAUAGGAGCUCCUGCUGCAUGGUGGGGGUUGGAAAGUUUCGGCGGUUGGGGAUGGACUCGCGGCUUAUCAGCUUGUUGGUGGGGUAGUGGCUUACCAAGGCUUUGACGGGUAGCCGGCCUGUGAGGGUGACCGGCCACAUUGGGACUGAGAUACGGCCCAGACUCCUACGGGAGGCAGCAGUGGGGAAUAUUGCACAAUGGGCGGAAGCCUGAUGCAGCAACGCCGCGUGCGGGAUGACGGCCUUCGGGCUGUAAACCGCUUUCGCCUGUGACGAAGCGUGAGUGACGGUAAUGGGUAAAGAAGCACCGGCUAACUACGUG